AAUGCAGCCUUUGACACACUUCUCUGACCUCCCAAAGGCUUUAUACCUUAUAACAAUGCUACACGGGUUGAUAUUUGUCUAGGAACUCAGGGAUGGUGUGGAUCACCGGCAUCCUCCUGAGAACACAGAGGAGCAGGAGACCUCCUCUUCCUCGUUCUUCAUUAUCAUCCCCACUUGCUCAGAUCAUAUACUACCUUUUACUCACCUUUACUGGUCACAUUGGCCUUUUUUCUGUUGUUCAGACUGCAAACUCCUCACCUGAGCCAAAAUGUUGAUAUGGAUAUUACGCAACUCCAUGACGUCUCAACUAACCAACUAAUCUCUACCCUCUGCUGCUGUCACUGUACUGUAUAACGCAUAUGUUACCUCUUUAAACCAGUGUGGUCCCGCACUGGACCUGGGAAUGCUUGUUGUUAAUGGUGAGGCACUUAGUUUGUGCUCGAUCUCUGUGGCAACAUAAGUAGUGUACAAAUUUAUACUGUUGCCUUUGUCACUGGAAAUUUGUGCUUUGGUUUUAUAUUUAAUGAUUUAAAUGAAUUUGUGUGCUAAUUCUAUGAGAUGUGCAAUGAUGUAAAGGUUUAGCGAAUGCAUGUACAAUGAAACAAUCAGGACGAACACUUCCAGAGAGAAAUCCCUCCUAUAUGAAGCAGUGAUGACGCUGCAUAUGUAUGUAAAAAUUUAAAUGACAAGGUAAAGACACAUUCGCAAACGUUUCACACUAAUUUAAAGGUGAAGUGUGUAAUUUCUGCUUAACAUCUGAUGGCCAAAAUAACACUUGCAUCCCAAACACUGCCCCCUGUCUUCCAUUAUUCACCAAACAGGUACUCCUCCCAAAAAUUUUACCAAUUCAGAAGUUGACAUGUUGGAACGCCCAACCUACAAAACAAAAGCACUGCAGUGUUUAUGGUAGUGGUUCUUAAACAUUUUGGGUCAACCACUUCAAGAGUAAAGCAACAAAAGCAGACCACCAAAUCAUAUUCAACGGGGUCAUUCAAUGCCCUUUUCACCGAUUCUGUCAUGAGCAACAGUAAAUUUUCCAUACGGCUGUUUUGUUCCUUUUUAUAGGAAUGAUCAUUUCUUUUAGCUAAUAAACUGAUGAGCCGACUGUUUGCUAGCUAAGAAAUUGGACCGAACGUUUAGGUACACUUGAAAACAAACAUUUAAGCAUAAAAUGAGUGUCAAUUCAUUAUGUUAGUUGGUUAAUUCAGUGUUGGUGCUUUUAUUUAUUCAAGUCUUUUUAUUGACUAAACUCGCACACAACAGUUUGAGAACCACUCUACAAGUUGAGAGAACAUUACACACGUCACCUUGAAACUUUACUCACUUCUCAGUGUUUCAUAUCAGGCGAAAGGGUCAGUCAUGUUAAAACGGACCACUGUACAUCUAGAUACCUCUAAUACUCAAAGUGAAGCAGCUGAGCUUUCCCGCACAGUUGAAGGCAACCGGAUACUGGUCCCGCAUUUAUGCUCUUGUGACGUAUUAAUGAUGGGCUCCUUAAGUAAAAGAAAGGAUUUAAUGUACAUGUGAUGAAGCAUCACUAUGCAAUUGAGAGCUGUACUCAAGAAACUUUGUAUUACUACUAUGCAGUUGGUAUGAAAGUAAAUGGACUCAAAUGCUCCAGAUCACAAACCUCAGGCAACUCUUGACAGUCAAGCCAUUGGUCCUCAACCACCAGAUCCAUCCUUAGCUUUGUUUUCAGUUACUCCCUUGAUAAGGAGCGAGGUGACGUUGAUGUAUGCACAUUCAGGAAGAACAAUGCAAUUUUUAUGACCAAUUCCCUGAAAUUCAUUAUAAAGCACCGAGUUAUUUCAUACAGCAGCAUCAAAGAUGUGGAAACCCAUCCUGAUGCAAUGAGAAAUCGAGAUGUUGGCAGGAUGCAUUGUCUAUUUUGAAGAUAAAAUAUAAAAGAGUAUUUUCAAACAUUAACCCCUUUUUACUCUGCAUUCCUAAACUAGUAAUUUUAGUGGUAUGCAUUGCAAUGUGACAUGUUAUGUAUUAAACAACCAUUUCCUUUUACAUGUUUGUGCAUAUGAGUCAGUAAACCCCUGGAAAUGGAACUUGCAUGUUAUAAACUACAUGUUCUAAAUGCAUUUAUGCGAGCUUUUCAUUAAGGAUUGGCGUUCAGUAAUGACUUGCCUUUUUUGUCAGUCCAUCUAGAUAUUUUCAUGAUAAUGUUUACAAAUCUAAAAGGCCAAAAUGAAUGAAACUUAAUAAAAGUGACAAGGUCACAACGC
ensembl:lncRNA